rnacentral:rRNA from 1 species
UGAGGAAUAUUGGUCAAUGGGCGCGAGCCUGAACCAGCCAAGUCGCGUGAGGGACGACGGUCCUACGGAUUGUAAACCUCUUCAGGCGGGGAGUAAUGUGCUCUACGAGUAGAGUAGUGAGAGUACCCGCAGAAUAAGCAUCGGCUAACUCCGUGCCAGCAGCCGCGGUAAUACGGAGGAUGCGAGCGUUAUCCGGAUUUAUUGGGUUUAAAGGGUGCGCAGGCUGUGCAUCAAGUCAGCGGUAAAAUCUCGGGGCUCAACCCCGUUUAGCCGUUGAAACUGGUGUGCUGGAGUGUGCGCGAGGAAGGCGGAAUGCGCGGUGUAGCGGUGAAAUGCAUAGAUAUUGCGCAGAACUCCGAUUGCGAAGGCAGCCUUCCAGUGCAUGACUGACGCUGAGGCACGAAAGCGUGGGUAUCGAACAGG